AUUAUUCCUACAUAAGUAGUUACAUAUGUAAAUAUAUACGUAUAUGUACGUAUGUAUACAUAGUCCUACGUACAUUUAAUACCAAAUUUCCUGGCCGAGCUUUUCCUGGGGUAAAAAAUAUUUUACUUCGAUAAGAAACACCAAAUCAAUGAGAUCGAACAAACGAAAAUCGAAUCGAAGCAGAGGAAGAACUUCUGCCGAUCCUCUGCUGCUGUGAAUGUUGGACCGUGCAUAAUUAUUUUUGCUUUCGGCUAUUUCGAAGACACACUUACAAUGAAAAGGGAUCGGA